ACUAGCUCUGAUGAGAUCCGCAAACUUAUGGUGAGAGUUGAGUCUAUCUUCGUGGAGUAUUUCGCUAGCUCGAACCGAAGCAAAGCAAUGAAUCUCUUAAGACCAAAAGUGAAGAAAGAAAAACAUCGGACAACGUUUUCCAGUGGUAACUAAUUAAAAACGAAUAAUAACAUUUAGUUCAUGACAAAUUGAUUCAAGAUCUCUAAUAUUUGUUCUUAUUUUCUCAGGCUUUUUUGUUGGCUGCUCAGUCUCUCUAGUGAUUGCUCUUGCCUUGUUAAUACAUGCUCGUAAUAUAAUGGGCGCAGACGGAAAGAACAUUUACAUGGAGACAAUGUUCCCUCUUUACAGUUUGUUUGGAUUUGUUGUCCUGCACAUGAUCAUGUAUGCUUCAAAUAUAUACUUUUGGAAGAGAUAUCGAGUGAAUUACCCUUUCAUAUUCGGGUUCAAAGAAGGAACAGAGCUCGGUUAUAGACAUGUUCUGCUUCUAAGCUUUGGUCUCAACACGCUUGCUCUAGCUGCUGUUAUAAUGAACCUUGACAUGGAGAUGGAUCCUAAUACUAAUGAUUACAAGACAAUCACUGAACUUCUUCCACUUUUUAUUGUUGGUGUAAGGUGUUCAUCAUUACAACCACAAGAAUCUAAAAAUCAUUUUGUUAUAAAUGUAGUAACAGCUCUCUUGUGUGCAAUGUUUUCAGCUAGUGAUACUAAUUACUAUAUGUCCCUUCAACAUCUUUUAUCGGUCAAGCCGCUUCUUUUUCAUCAUGGUUGUAUUCCGCUGCAUUGCUGCACCGCUCUAUAAGGUAAUUACUCAAGCACAUCCCAGUAAAAAAAAUGUUGAAUCACCGUUUUAAAAAUCGGUAUAGACGGGAAAUCAGAUUAUUGAAUUUUUUAAAAAAAAAUCGGUCUAGACAUUUAAAAACAGUAUAGACAUUUAAUAUCCCGGUUAUGACGUUUUAAAAACUGGUAUUGGCGCCCUUCUUAUCAAAAAUCUAACUAAUACUAAAAGGGAUAUAUGAGCCUCAGUUAGGCCAUCCACGUAGGAUAAGAAAAUCGUCCAAUAGGAAGCCUGCAUUCGGACACGUCAGCACGGCUUUAUUAACAAAACGCAGUUUUUCAUUUACCGUUCUAUAGGCUUCAUUUUUGGGCUUUAUCUUUUAUUUCAUUCCAGCCCAAUAGCAACAAAACUGAUCGUCUUCAUCAGUUGCAAACAUGUUUUAGGUUCAUCUUCCUCUACAAACUCUGACAAAGACGACUUUCAUAUACCUUCGCUGACACCAAUUAUGAAGUCUUCAGAGAUUGAGAUGCUAGAAUAGACGUGUGGGAUCUCUUUCUAGGUCUUUAAUCGCGACGUUUAAUCUUCCGGUAUAGUCAAUCAUCGAAACGUUUCGAGUUACAGAUUCGUCUCCUCUUAUUGCCUUCUUAACUCCAUCAACCACGAUCUGACAUUAAAUGUAUCUUUCUCUUCUCCAAGUCGGUGUUUUUAAACCUAUAAAAAGGUUAGUUUCCUACCCUUGAAAUCAUUCUCUGGAUCUGUAAAAAUAGCAAAGAAAACUUAUUUAUUGAUGAUUUAUAUGUUAGGAAUCUCAUAAAACUUUCCCUUCCAUAACUCUGAUUGAUAGGGCUUUGUGUCGUUGAUUUCUAUUUGGAUGCUAUUAUCUGAAAUAUCAACAUUUAUUUUUUAUGUCUUUCUCUGUGAAUUAUGUUCUGUUUCAAAUAAAAAAUCUUAUACCUUGGAUUUCGUUUGUCAAAGUGCUCGAUGCCGUUUCUGAUUACCGGGCAAGCUAUUGACUGGUACAGUGAAUGAAAGGAUGAAAUCAGAUCUCUUUUCUUUUCUACUUUUGUUGGUUUGGGAAAACUUUGUAAAUGUCAUGGAGAUGCGUUGUCCAUUUUUUUUUUGUAGUUAGGGAGCUUGAAUCUUGAAGAUAUGCUCAAUGCUGCAUCACCUGGUAUUUGACGAAAUAUCAGUUAUAUCCAAGGCACGUAUGUUGGGAUCCCCUGAAGAUGAACUUUAUUUUUUUAUAACUAAUGUUGAGAUCUCUGAAGUCUUGACAGGUUCUUCAAUUUAUGGAGUCACCAGAAUACAAUAGGUUUACACAUAUAGUCCUCGAUACUGCUCCCACGGGACAUACUUUGCGGCUUCUUUCUCUGUCCAAUUUCUAUGAUUCUUCAAUUGGCAAAAUAACAAAGCUCAAGAAGAAGAUCACUGCGGCAGCUUCAGCCUUUACGUCUGUCUUUGGCAAAAAGGAGAUACAACAACAAGGACCUUCCAACGAGUUGGACCAACUGAAAGAGAGAAUGGAGAAAGUUCUAAAUGUUUUCCGUGAAGUGGACACUACUGAGUUUGUCGUUGUAACCAUAGCAACAUUCUCUUACCUGUUCAUAAGAUCAUUAGUUUACAUGUGGUUACUGAGACGCUUAGCUUUAUUCUUCUACCCCAUUAAGGAUAAAUUUGAAUAGAAGUCGGUCUCUCCUUCUGGCAUAUUCACUUGGCUAUUACCUUUCCUUUUAGGUCAUGGCAAUAAACUGAGUCUUCGGGAUUACAUGCAUCUUUAAGAAAAGAAAAUGUGCCAGUUCACAGGUUUAUUGUUAAUCAGCUUCUCCCUCAUUCUGAAUCCGACUGUAAAUUUUGCUCAGUGAGACGAAAGGAACAAACGCGUGUGCUCGGACUUAUUCAGGACGAUACGAAGCAUUUGACUAGGGACAUUUUGAACACGUGUUGCUACAAAAAGCAGCUUCACGGUUGGUAUGAGCUAUACAGUGACAACUAAAUCUGUCUGAGUGUCAAAUGCGUAGCAAAUCCGUUCAAGCUACAACUUGGAUUCUUCUUUUACUUUUUCUUACAAUGUAAUAUAUUUUAUCUUUGCAUUCAGACAUGCAUAAUAGAAACAAACGCGUAGAUAUUAAGAUGGACUGUUUGUCA